rnacentral:lncRNA from 1 species
AAUGAGCACACCUAUGACACCAAGCUGGGAAUCGACAAGUGUGACAACUCCUCCACGUCCCUGAAGAUGGGAUACACACAGGGCGCUCAUCAGAGCGGCCAGGCCUUCGGCAUGGGCCCACAGAUAUACGACCCCAGGUACUACUGGGGAAGCCCAGUGGCCCACGGCGCUCCCUCGGGCUCCGGCCCCGGAAUAUCUCCCUUACUACCAGGAGGAGACCGGCUACUGA